rnacentral:tRNA from 1 species
GAGGCAUAGCUCAGCUGGUUAGAGUGCUUGCUUCACACGCAAGAAGUCGAGGGUUCGAGUCCCCCUGUCUCC